CCUUAGGGCUUUUUUUGUGCUGGGACCUGAGGAGGAGAAGAGCUUGGAGAGGAGCUUGUGGCUGAGGAGAUCUCCCACCCCACUUGGAUUGGAGCUAAGUUUGGAGCUUCUUGAGAGAGCCUUCGGCACCGGCGGAGGCACGGGAUCGCGGCAAGGGG